CAGUAGCCACGGUAAUACGAAGGGGGCUAGCGUUGCUCGGAAUCACUGGGCGUAAAGGGUGCGUAGGCGGGUUUUUAAGUCAGAGGUGAAAUCCUGGAGCUCAACUCCAGAACUGCCUUUGAUACUGAAAGUCUUGAGUAUGGGAGAGGUGAGUGGAACUGCGAGUGUAGAGGUGAAAUUCGUAGAUAUUCGCAAGAACACCAGUGGCGAAGGCGGCUCACUGGCCCAUAACUGACGCUGAGGCACGAAAGCGUGGGGAGCAAACAGGAUUAGAUACCCCUGUAGUCCCUGUCUCUUAUAC
rnacentral:rRNA from 1 species